CUCAUGACUUCCUAUCAGGAUUCUGUUCAGCCACAUGCAGGGAGUUUCUUUAUCUUCAAAUUCACUCUCCAGUGUUCUGGACAUUGCCCACUCAUAGAUGGAGAGAGCUGGCUUGGUGAGGCCAGUCAGCCUUGGAGGGGUCUCCUUCUGAAAUCAGAAAUGCUGGUGUCUUAGAAACAAGCCCAGGGAAGACAGGGAGGAGGGCAGGGUACUUUCCCGGGUAUCAAGGGAAGAGCAAUGAAUCUACAGUUUAUACUUUCAAGGGGUUCCAAGUAGACCACAAAACAAAAGGAAGAAGAAGCCACUGAUACUGAGGGUGCUCUCAGGCCUGUUUCACAGAGGAGUGAAUUCUAGCAGCGGGAGGUUGAGUCAUGGGCCUGAUGUCGCCCAGCUGGAGAAUGCAGAGAUGGGAUCCAAGCCCAGGUCUGUCCAUCAUGGAGGCUACAGACGGGGCCUCAGGCUUCUCCUCCUCGGUAAAAAUGAACAGAUCCAUGACCACAGCUCCAGAGUGAGGAGGACUCGUCGUGGAAGAGGAUACAGCUUUGGAAAUUAUUUGGAAGCAGGAUAAUUCAUCUUCAUGUUACAUGCUGGAAGGAACUGUCUUUUGGUACAUACGUCAAAAAUAUCCUUUUCCCAUCAUCUGCUAUUUCCGAUUUGAAUCAGUAAUAACAGCUCAAUAAUGUGUUAAGCACAUAUUGAAAGGCUCUCAUGCAAAGUACUUUACUGGCAGUACCUAAUCUACCCUCUCACAAUAAUCCCAUAAACUAGGUACUGCCACAUUCUGUUAUGGAUGAGAAAACUGAGGCUGGAAGAGAUUAAGCAGCCUGUCUGAUGUCCAAGGGCAGGCAUACAUCUGUCCAAUUCCAGGGUCACAACUGUAAAUAACUGCUAUACAGCUCAUUAAUUUAUCUACUCUAUCAACAAAUACAAGGUACAGUGUGACCUCGGUUCACGAAUGCUUUUGUUGGCAAACAGUUUGGUUCAUAUACAAAAGUGUUUGAAAAUUUUUGCUUCUCUUUACAAACUCUGUGGUUUCUUUCU